GGGUCCGUAGCUCAGCAAGGUUAGAGCGGUGGCCUCUUAAGCCAUUGGCCGAGGGUUCGAAUCCCUCCGGACCCGCCA
rnacentral:tRNA from 3 species